CACCCACCCACCCCCACCCCCUUGCAUGCCAGCACCAAAGGCAGGCAAUUCGGACGGUGGCUUCAGUCGAACUCUGUUGCCUUUGGAGCUUCCAUGACCAGUUGGUAGCUCAUUUUACCGGAUUGACAUCAAACGGGCUUGUGGAUGUUUGAGAUCUGACGCUGACGUGAAAUCCAGCUGGCGUGGGACUGGCUGCACUGCGACCUGAUCGUUUCAUGGCAAGUCACCACAGUUCCUGUGUGCUGUUUUUAUGUUUUACAGAAUGUCUCUCUCAGAGGGGAAGAAAUGUAUUCUGCUCACGUAGCAGAUUAAGUCUAGCAAAAAAAAAAAAAAACAAAAGAAAGGCAUUCACUCGUUCUUCGGAUGGAUUUCAUACAUUCGAGUUAAAGCUCUAAUCUGUUGCCAUUUCAUUACCUCAUUAGAAGUAGCUUUAGUUCAGUCUAAAUGCUGUAAAUCGUUCAAAAGGAUAAUCAAAGAUGUUCGGGUUCAGCCUCAUAAUAGUGAUUCAUACCUCACAAAGAUAUUAAUUUAUACCUCACACAAUGCUAAUGGUCCCGUAGGAUUACGCGCCGUGUAAUCUGUUAACUGUACAAAUGAAAAGGGUUUGUGUGUUCUUCGUUCAGUCUUCACACACACAAGCCUGCAUGCACAGUUUUUGUGAUGUGGCGUUGCUUUGCUGUUGUUAAGGUCUGAGUAGGAAAAUCUUGGAGACAUGGGAUAGCUCACGACCAAUAUGCACUUGCUGUUAAACUACCCGCCCCCCCCCCCCCCCCCCCCCAACGAACACAAAUGUAUUGACCUGGAUUGUUCACUGGAAGCAAACUUGGUGCCCCAGAGUCCUGUAAAUGGUAUAUUCUCUAUUUUGCAGGUCUUGUGUGUGUGUGUGUGUGUGUGUGUGUGUGUGUACAAUUCCCAGCAGUAUGUAGAUAGAUACAUAUUUCAGAGAAUGGGUAUGAAGCAUUUGUACUGUUGAAGCUAACACAGCCCUCGGUGGUUGAAAUUAUACCGUGUGGAUUUUUCUGAUGCAAGACUGUGCUCUCAAGGUCUUGGAAGUGUGAGGAGGGAGGCGGUGGGGUGAGGCAGCGGGUGUGUUCUAUAUAUAAUGUGCUCUUUUUUUUUUUUUAUUGAGUCGCCACAUUGUUUUUUGUCAACCGAGUUGACUUUUUAAUGCAAGGAAAUCCCAACGCUUCAGACUUUUGGAAGGACUACGAAAUUAAGACGGUCAAUUUGGAAAGCACUUGGUAUUUUGUGAAUCUUUUGAAUAAAAGAGAACCUCAACUAACCAUUGUUUUCUUUGUUGCUGUUCUAAGCAAAAUGGCUGGUGUAUGGUUAGUUUAUUAAAGAUGACAUUGGUUGUAUUGUGAAAACUGUACCAUUUGCCAAAUUCUUGACUCAUUUUUUUUUCCAUCCUUAUCCAUGUCUAUCACCAUUUGUACAAUUUACAUUGUAAAAUCAAUUCUGAUUAAUACCGAAUGUCAUUUGAUCAUGUUACCUGGACACUUCUAACUGACCUUCAAGUCCGCUAAGGUUGAGUUGCUACUCUUUGCUGUAAUACUACAUGUGCGCUAGAGUAUUACAAUUAGAUGUGAAACAGGGUAAAAGCUGUGAAAAUGUCCUUUUGGAAUUUUUCAGGUAUGAUGAGGGUAGUUACACAGGUUUUCGAGAUUUCAGCAUGAUGAAUAAGAGUAUUGUAUAGUCCAUACACGUUUAGUCCUAUCGGAUUGAUAGUCUUGUUUUGAAAAAAGUUGGAUAUUCUCAAGUCUUAAAACUACUGUGAUGAAAUACAUGAACUCUGUCAAUAAAUCUUUGCUCUGUACUCUAAAGGUUUGACAC